AUACGACCAUAGGCGAAGUAUCAGACUGGAUCCCGUCCGAUUUCCACACGUCAAUCCUUCGACCGGUGGGCUAGUAGUCAGGUGGGUGACCACUGGCGAAUCCCCGCUGUCGUAU